rnacentral:rRNA from 1 species
UCGAGUGGGUUAGACCCACGGCGAACGGGUGAGUAAUACCUAGGAACUUUUCUUAAGUGGAGCAUAACCAGCCGAAAGGUUGGAUAAUACUCCAUGUGACCGCAAGGUUAAAGUCGCAAGACGCUUAAGGUGAGGCCUGGGCACCAUCAGCUAGUUGGUAAGGUAACGGCUUACCAAGGCUAUGACGGUUAGGGGUCCCGAGAGGGAUAACCCCCACACUGGGACUGCGACACGGCCCAGACUCCUACGGGAGGCAGCAGUUUGGAAUUUUGGACAAUGGACGAAAGUCUGAUCCAGCGACGCCGCGUGGACGAUGAAGGCCUUCGGGUUGUAAAGUCCUUUUGCUCGGGAACAAUUUUUGAGCGUACCGAGAGAAUAAGAGGUUGCUAACUCUGUGCCAGCAGCAGCAGUAAUACAGAGACCUCAAGCGUUAUCCGGAAUCAUUGGGCGUAAAGCGUACCGAUAGGUGGUUUUACAAGUCAGAAGUGAAAUCUCUCAGCUUAACUGGGAGACUGUCUUUUGAAACUGUAAAACUAGAGGGGCAAAGAGGAAGCUGGAACGAACGGUGUAGUAGUGAAAUGCGUUGAUAUCGUUCGGAACACCAAUAGCGUAGGCAGGCUUCUGGGUGCCACCUGACACUGCUAGGACGAAAGCGUGGGGAGCGAAUGGGAUUAGAUACCCCAGUAGUCCACGCUGUAAACGAUGUACAUUAGGUGCUAGAGAGUAUCGACCCUCUUUGGUACCAAAGCUAACGCGUUAAAUGUACCGCCUGGGGAGUACGGCCGCAAGGCUAAAACUCAA